AACUAACCUGUUCUCUUCCUCUGCUAGAAGAGGAACUGAGUUCUAACAUCUGCAUGCUGGCUGCAGCAACAUGGGGUCCCAGGCUGGCACCAGUGACCUGCAGGCUGUGGGCACAGCAGGGGUAGGGAAGAUGGAGCCUCCCUCCUCUUGAAGGACAAUGCGCUUAAACUGGGAAAAGGGCAGUUCUGGUGGGACAUAAAAAUUCUCUCUGCAUGUGGGAGGGCUUUUCUCUCUCAGUGGAGGGUUGAAAUAGAGACCUCCAGAGGCCCCUUCCAGCCUAAUUUUUUCUAUGCUUAUUUGCGAGACUUGCAUGGAACCACUGCAGUAGAUGUUACUGCUGAUCAGCCCUGGGCCCUGUGCUCACUGCUCAUUAGAAACUGCAUUUUAACGACAGCCCCCAAGGUAGUGAGUAAUGGCUACCGUCACGUUUAGCACCACUGCAAACAGCUGCCAAGCACGUGACAUCCUGUAAUGACCUGCCUGUUCUAAGUAACCUCAGUAAUUAAUGGCCCUGUAUAAUAAGACAGAGAACUACUGUACCUGCACACUGCAGCUGCUGCUGUUCACUCUCCAAGCAUGUGCCUGAAGUGGAAGAUUGACUGAAUGAUGACUUUCCAGGUAGCAUGUCUCCCCAGGUAUCUGGGAAUCCUGGUGUCUCUGCCCAGUGCAGCCCUAGAGAGUACAGACCUGGAGCUCGGAGCCUGUACCUGGGAGGGGAAAAGCAACAACUAAAAAUCACCUGAAAACACAGUAUGGAAGUAGCAUUUCAAGUAUGAGUCCCAGCUCCACUGUUUUUUUCAGAGCUAGAGGCAAUGCAUUCAGGUUACAGAUACAUUCAUGUUUGCAGCCAGGGUAGAUAAUGUAUCUGGUUGUAUCUCUGCAGAAGCACUUGCUGAGGUACCCACUGCCUCAGGGAACAGGACCAGCAGCAGCAACAAAGGAAGGUAAAUGGAAACAUGAGGAUGCUGGGGAUGACUGCCAUGAAGUCAGUUUUUAAUUGCUAGAAAAGGUAUAAUCAAAGUUUGUAAGAGUUUGUAAAGACCAAGAGGAUUUUUCAAAGGUAAUUAGUAGCUGAGAGAGUGGCUGGUGGCUGUCCCAAGUUUAGAGGCAAAAGCUGUGUUAAAGUGAUGCAGAGUUUGUUCUGCCUGCCCAGAGCCAGGAGGAGACACUCAAUGAGAAACCCAAUCAUUGUUGUCAAAAAAAAAUAUACAACCUUUCUUGUUUCCUAACCUCAUGAGAUCUAUGGACUUCAUCCUCUCUUCUGUCUCUUGCCAGCACAAUAAUUUGGCUUUUAUAUCCUCUUGAUUUCCAAGCAGUCAGUCGCUGUACCAGCACAACACUCUGGAAACGCACUGGAAAGUUGCUCUGGCCACAUUACUCAAGGUUCUUUUGAAUUCCAGUCACCUGCAGAAACAACAGACAUAAAAUAAAACCCUUCCAACAGAGAGCAGCAUGACAACAGUCUGUAAAACUUCAUUGAGCCCAGCUGGUGGUUGGACCUUCCAAGCCUUUACCACUUCCAUUUCUUCCUACAUGGUCCAGUUCACUUCAGACAUACAGGGCAGGAGAGUGAAAUUUUUCUCAAAAUUUAUGACAGUUCAAACAAUUGUAAGUUUUAACAAUGCAUCUCUCCCAACCUGUGUGAUGACUUAUCAGACUUACAGCAAUCUCAUUAUGAAACCCCCCAGAUCAACCAAAAACCAAAAAACACACCACAGUGGAGGGAAAAAAAAGAAAAACCCAAACAAAAAUUUGACAGGAUUUUGCUCUGCUCUGAGGCUGAACAGGUAAGACAGCUGUAUGGACUCUGAUGGUGAAGCCUGGACUAUGUGAGAACUACCCUUCAGUACUUCCUUUGGCUACUAAUAAAUGGAAUGACAAGAUGUGAUGGUCCAAACGAGCAUUUAAAAGAAAGUUAUAGUGAAGAGGGUGCUCAUCAUACUCAUGAUUUUGAAUAGUUUAUUAAAUGAAAGGUGAAGCAUCAGUUUUAAAUUGUACAAAAGGAAAAAAAACCUCAUAUUGUAAAUGUACAAUUUACAGAAUUACUAGCAAAACCAAUCAAGGAGACACUCAUAAUACAAAAACCUAUUGACUGCAAACUGAACUGGAAACCCAUUGCAGGUACCGUGAUAAUAAAUGUUUGUUAUACAGUAUUCUACAAUGUUAAAUUAGGAAUCAGUUUUCCACACAGAGGACUGUGAAGCACAAGGUUCGUCUGAGACUAUGACUCAAACCAGGCAGCAUUUAUUAUGCUACUAUGCUCACAGAAUUAUUGUGAUGACGAUUUAAUGCAGCCAUUCCUGCCCACCCCUUUUGGGGUGGAUGGAAGAGGAAGGGAGGUAACGUUAUUUUAUAAAGUUCCAGCUACUUCUCGGGUUUUAUCUGCUACGCAACCGCCGUCUGAGGAAUGGCUGAAUUACCUAGUCGAACAUUUUUGGCAACCAUGUCUGAGAACUGCACAUGUUGUAAGAAACAAACCCCAGCUAAGUGAAAUGCUGGUUUGUUUUUAAAGUUAGAUUCUUUUCCCUCCCAGCAAGUAAGCACUGGGCAUUAAAUGUUGUUCUGUUUUUCAAUAAGCUUGUAACAGAAAAAAGCUCCAUGAUUAUUUUGCAGUUGCUAAAAAAAAAAAAGCACCUUUAAAACUGCUGUGCUCCCAAGUGG